GGGAGGUUAUUGGAGGUUUAAAGGAAACAAGGAAACAAAGGGCGGGAGGCUAAAGAAGAAAACGUCUAAUCACAUGUAGAAUUCAAUGUAUAGUUUUUAACUUGAGUGUUAAACACUCUACAUUGUGAAAGACGUUCCAUGAUUUCUAUUCAGACAUGGCUUCUUCAUCAUCAUCAUCAAGAUGGAAAAAGAAGGUUGGUCGGGUUAUAAGGAAUGUUUUUAUACUGGAGACGAUUAUGAUAUUGAUCAAAAACUGAUCACUGGUGUAAAAGUGAAAAUUUCAGUACACUGCUAACCUGAAUCGAUUAAGGAAGACGUAAAAAGAAAAGAUUUCAUGUCUGAUUUUAAACCAAUAAAGAACGCCACAUUUUGAUAUUGGCGGAAGAAAAAAAUGUCAAAACCCUAUCGAAUACGACAUUCUAUUAAGUGUUAGCAAAAUGAUGAAGAUGAAGUUUUGAUGAUGUCCA
rnacentral:lncRNA from 1 species